rnacentral:rRNA from 1 species
CGAACGUUGGCGGCGUGGAUUAGGCAUGCAAGUCGUGCGUGAACGUCGGCUUCGGCCGGCUAGUAAAGCGGCGAACGGGUGAGUAACGCGUGGGAAAUCUGCCUUCGGGUGGGGGAUAACACUCCUAACGGGGUGCUAAUACCGCAUAACACCUUUGGAUCGCAUGGUCCGAAGGUCAAAGGUGGCCUCUGCUUGCAAGCUACCGCCUGAAGAUGAUCCCGCGUCCGAUUAGCUUGUUGGUGAGGUAACGGCUCACCAAGGCUACGAUCGGUAGCUGGUCUGAGAGGAUGGUCAGCCACACUGGGACUGAGAUACGGCCCAGACUCCUACGGGAGGCAGCAGUCGAGAGGCUUCGGCAAUGGGGGAAACCCUGACCGAGCGACGCCGCGUGAGGGAUGAAGCCCUUCGGGGUGUAAACCUCUUUUCUGGGGGAAGAAACUCAUGGGGUCCAAUAGGCCUCGUGCCUGACGGUACCUCAGGAAUAAGCUCCGGCUAACUCCGUG